rnacentral:tRNA from 1 species
GGGAAGGUGGCUCAGUGGUAGAGCUCUUGCCUUGCAUGCAUGAGGCCCUGGGUUCGAUUCCCCAGCGCCA